AUGUACCACUCGUACAUGUCGGUUUUGAGCGCGUCGUUCGCACCCACCUGACGACCGCCCGCGACGUUUUGUCAGCC
rnacentral:sRNA from 1 species